ACCGCCACUACCACCACCACCAAUACCACCACCACCACCAUUGCAUUCAAACAUUAAACAUGUCUGAACAAGAUGGAAACUGUACAUCACGCACGCAUGCACACAUACACGCACGCACACGCUCACACGUUUACACACACACACAAGUGUGUGUGUGUGUGUGUGCGUGUGCGCAGAACAAUGUGUAUGUACAUGUCUCGAGUUUCAAUAUAAAGGACGCAGUUUUGAUAUUUCUGGCUUGAGUGCGGCUUGUUGAUGGUGGAGUGGUGUUACAGUACAGAACUAGUGGUGUAGUGUUUGUUUGGUGGUGAUGUGGUGUUGAUGCAGCAGGAAGGCACUGUUGUCUGGUGGAGCUCCGCUGGUAUAACAGCGAGAUCUGGUCGAUGGAGUGGGCAUAGCCGACCUGUUGGUGCAGUAGAGAGACUUGGUGAUGAAGCGGCGGUCUAGUGGUGUGGAGAAAGUCUGGUGGUGCUGUGGAGAACUUAUGGUAGUACAAUGAAAGUCGAGAGUUCUGGUGAUGGCAAUCUGCUAGUCCGGUGAAGACCUGGAGGUGCAAUGGAGAUAUCUGGAGGUGCAAUGGAGAGAUCUGGAGGUGCAAUGAAGAAGUCUGGAGGUGCAUUGGCGCAGUGGAAAGAUUUGCUGAAGCAAUACAGGCUGGUUGUGACAGCGACGAUAAUCUGAUGUAGCGAAGAGACCUAAUGUUGCAGUAGAGAGACUUGUUGCUCACUUAAAUACUCAGAGACAGAUGAAGAGACAAACAGACAGAGAAAAAGACAGAAAUUCGGUCGUCGGUUUUGUUCAGUCAAUUCCUCACGAAUUCAGUUCGAUCCAGUUUCAUCCAGUAUAGUCAUGUCCAGACACUGGCAACAGCAGCAAGAAGAAGAACAACAACAGAAACAUCUAUAACAAUAGAAAGAACCUGACGGUUACUAUGCGGCCGCUCUCCCGGCUAGAAAUAACAACUAAACUCCUUCCUGACAACACGGAACCAUCUUGCACCGCUUCCUGUCGGCCUUGACACAUUUCCUGUGUCCUUAUGUUUACAAGGGGGAGACAAGCACCUCUACCCUUGUGCUUGUCUCUUCCUUGUAAACAUAAAGAAAAAGGAAAUGUGUUAAGGCCGACAGGAAGCGGUGCAGCUUCCUAGGUCUAACCAACAGUAGUAUUAUUCCCUUCAGGGGACUGUCACAUUAAGUUGACAGCAUACAAUUACUUAAUAUGAUAUAACCCUCAAUGUAAAUGAGACGCACGGCUUAGUGGUUAGGGGUGUUGGACUCAUGAUCGUAAGAUUGUGGUUUCGAUUGUUAGACCGGGCGAUGCGUUGUGUUCUUGAGCAAAACACAUAAUUUCAUGUUGCUCCAGUCCACUCAGCCGGUAAAAGUGAGUAAUCAUGCGACGGACUGGCGUCCCGUCCAGGAAGGGAAUAUAUAUAUAUAUAUAUAUAUAUAUAUAUAUAUAUAUAUAUAUACACUAGAAAAACCGGGAAACCGGUCCCUUUGGUAUUUACAGGAGUAAUGUGGACUAGUAGCCAUUUUAGUAUGUAUUGCCACGGGGAUUUUUCAUCUUAACCACCUUUAUAUUUUCAUAUGAUAUAACCCUCAAAUUUAUUUCUAUAUUUACUGAGCUAUUUGUUAAAACGCUUUACAGAAAAGGAAACAAAAACAUUUUUAUCAUGUUUAUGAAAUAUCCACUUCUAUUAAUGAUAUAACAAUCCAAAGCAUUGAGAUGGCAGUAUCGUUAGCACGUGUGACAAACUGCUAAGCGGUAUUUACUUCAGCUCUUUGUGUUCUGAGCUCAAAAACCGCCGAGGUCAACUUUGCCUUUCACCCUUUAGAGAUCGAUAAGAUAAGAAACACCAUUUGAACACUGAAGUUGAUGUAAUCAACUACCCCAUUCCCUAAAAAAAUUCAGACUUUCUGUCUAUAGCAGAAAGAAAUUACACGUUUAACAUUGUAAGUUCAUUUUUAGAUGCUAUUCUCAUGAUUCGGGCAAUCGUAAAUGUUUUAUAGACGUUUCCCUAUUCUGUAUAAAACCACUUUAUAAACAAACCUUAUCACGAUCCGUCCACGAUAUUUCGUAAAUAUCUAUAAUAUAAUCGUAUUUGUUUGGCAGCUUACUUGAUGUGAGUUCAUAUGUUGAAACAGAACUAACUUUUGAAGAAACAUGAAAUUAUUUAAGAAUACUCACAUAGUCACUUGUGUUUUAUUUUGUAUCUUACAUUGUAUAUAUUUUGUAUUGAAAAUACUAUGCAAUUACUCUAAAUAAUAUAUCUGGCUCUGUAACACGUGCGCUUUAAAAACCGUAUAAAAGUGAAAGCGCUUGCACAAAAUAGUAUUCCAUCAGAUCUCUGUUAAACCGCCUUUUUAUUUAAAAAAAAUUCUUUUAUAUGAUAAAUUCCACGAAGUGCUGGGAAGAAUCCACCAAGUAAAGCGAGCGUGUGUUAUGAUACAUGAGUUUUUAAGUAGUGAAAAUCAUGUUUUGUACAAUAAGCGCAAAAUCCUAUUUCUAUGUAAGAUCUGAAUUUCACUUCCAUGUAUGAAUGAAACGACUAGCGUCAUUACCUUAGAAAUAAAAUUACCUUAGAAAUAAAA